rnacentral:rRNA from 1 species
AGGUUUUAAUCCUGUUCUGGUUUACCACCAUCCGGGUGUUUAGGAUCGUUCGCAAUUCUCACUUUUAGCGUUCUCUCCAUAUAUUCCUUUUCAUUAAGUUUAUCGAUAGCUGGCUUGGCAUCUGCCGCAGCCAUCACGACAAAACCAAACCCUCUUCUUUUUCCAGUGCGCUUAUCUUUCAUUAAGCGUACUGCAUAGACCUGUCCAUAUUCAGCAAACAAAUCGCGAACGUGACUCUCAUUGGCCUUAUAAGGAAGGUUGCCGACAUACAGAGUUUUAGUUGAUGGAUCCGAGUCUGUUGAUUGAAUAGAAGGUGUCUGGCUAGAAAAUGAAAAUAAAAAAGCAGUAGCGAUAACACCAAUGAGAAAACUCAAGGCUGGUGGGAUGGUGACUUGAGAGAAGACGAUUCCCCCAACGACGGCCAGCCCAGCACAUAAAAUCAGAUUUUUUUUAGACGUCAUUUUAAUUACUACACAUAGUGAUAAAGAGAUCGAUUGUCCAUUAACAGAAUAGACACAUGAAUCUUACGUAUAUGGUUGGUGUUUUUCCAACCAAUUGCUGUGAUAUGUCUCAAAUGUGACGAAGAAAUAUGCAAAUAUCACGCUUUUGGCUAACUAAUGACCUGUUGAAAGUUUUUUUGCAAAAAACGGCGAUGAGUGUUCACACAGAUUGAUACGGUUUAUAAAGUAAAGAGACGAUACUGGGUCUGUAGCUCAGGUGGUUAGAGCGUUCGCCUGAUAAGCGAGAGGUCGGUGGUUCGAGUCCACUCAGACCCACCAAUUUCCUUCCCAAGGAAUUGGCGACAGUAUCGACACCUUGAUGGGGCUAUAGCUCAGCUGGGAGAGCGCCUGCCUUGCACGCAGGAGGUCUGCGGUUCGAUCCCGCAUAGCUCCACCAUCUUUAAGUGUUCUUGAAAAAGAAUCUUUAAAAAUGGUUUUCAUCAGAAAAUCUAGCUCUUUAACAAUUUGGAAAGCUGAGCGUGCUCGUUUGACGUUAGCUGCAGAAGAAGCACCGGCUAACUCCGUGCCAGCAGCCGCGGUAAUACGGAGGGUGCGAGCGUUAAUCGGAAUUACUGGGCGUAAAGCGCAUGCAGGUGGUUUGUUAAGUCAGAUGUGAAAGCCCGGGGCUCAACCUCGGAAUAGCAUUUGAAACUGGCAGACUAGAGUACUGUAGAGGGGGGUAGAAUUUCAGGUGUAGCGGUGAAAUGCGUAGAGAUCUGAAGGAAUACCGGUGGCGAAGGCGGCCCCCUGGACAGAUACUGACACUCAGAUGCGAAAGCGUGGGGAGCAAACAGGAUUAGAUACCCUGGUAGUCCACGCCGUAAACGAUGUCUACUUGGAGGUUGUGGCCUUGAGCCGUGGCUUUCGGAGCUAACGCGUUAAGUAGACCGCCUGGGGAGUACGGUCGCAAGAUUAAAACUCAAAUGAAUUGACGGGGGCCCGCACAAGCGGUGGAGCAUGUGGUUUAAUUCGAUGCAACGCGAAGAACCUUACCUACUCUUGACAUCCAGAGAACUUUCCAGAGAUGGAUUGGUGCCUUCGGGAACUCUGAGACAGGUGCUGCAUGGCUGUCGUCAGCUCGUGUUGUGAAAUGUUGGGUUAAGUCCCGCAACGAGCGCAACCCUUAUCCUUGUUUGCCAGCGAGUAAUGUCGGGAACUCCAGGGAGACUGCCGGUGAUAAACCGGAGGAAGGUGGGGACGACGUCAAGUCAUCAUGGCCCUUACGAGUAGGGCUACACACGUGCUACAAUGGCGCAUACAGAGGGCGGCCAACUUGCGAAAGUGAGCGAAUCCCAAAAAGUGCGUCGUAGUCCGGAUUGGAGUCUGCAACUCGACUCCAUGAAGUCGGAAUCGCUAGUAAUCGUGGAUCAGAAUGCCACGGUGAAUACGUUCCCGGGCCUUGUACACACCGCCCGUCACACCAUGGGAGUGGGCUGCAAAAGAAGUAGGUAGUUUAACCUUCGGGGGGACGCUUACCACUUUGUGGUUCAUGACUGGGGUGAAGUCGUAACAAGGUAGCGCUAGGGGAACCUGGCGCUGGAUCACCU